GAUCCUGGCUCAGGACGAACGCUGGCGGCGUGCUUAACACAUGCAAGUCGAACGGAAAGGCCCUGCUUUUGUGGGGUGCUCGAGUGGCGAACGGGUGAGUAACACGUGAGUAACCUGCCCUUGACUUUGGGAUAACUUCAGGAAACUGGGGCGUAAUACCGGAUAGGAGCUCCUGCUGCAUGGUGGGGGUUGGGAAAGUUUCGGCGGUUGGGGAUGGACUCGCGGCUUAUCAGCUUGUUGGUGGGGUAGUGGCUUACCAAGG
rnacentral:rRNA from 1 species